GGAUGUAACCGACUUGUUAUCAAUUCGGACAAUAUGAAAGUAACCGAUACAAUGAAGAAUGGAGGUCAGUCUGCGGGAGCAGUGGUGGCAGUUUUUUAUGACUGCUAUUUUUUGGCAUGUGAUUUACUUACUAGUUUCGAACAUUGUACUAGGGAGGCAAAUAAGGUCCAUGAACUUGCUAGGUUAGCGAAAUUUUCUGAUAGUAGGGACUGGUUUGAGGAGUCUAUGGAUGAGAUUGUACCUUUUAUUAUAGACGAUGUAACCGUUUUUUCUAAUUAA
rnacentral:rRNA from 1 species